CUAACUUCUCAGCCAUUCUCUAAAGAUGCCACUGACCAACAGGUUGUGCCAAAGAGACUUGUGAGACCUACGAAACCGAGUCUCCAACACUUAAAAGCCUCUGAGCAGUCAUCCAAACCAAAAGAUCUGAAACAAAGGCACCAUGAAGCUGUCCACCUACCUCCUCUGCCAUCCGCUAAAAAUGUCCAACAGCCCUUAAAGGGUGUGAUGUCAACCCCUCCUCUCCCAAGGCUUCCCAUUAAGAGUUAUAUACAGCGGGACCCUACUUCCAAAUCUCAACUUAAUGAGUACCACAGUACUGACUUUGUUUUGACUGACAGUCAAACUGUGAUUUCGGAGCCUGA